UUGGCGAGUACUACCUAGUACUACCGAGUACCACAGCUGUGAUUAAUUUCAUCCGUCCGAUCUAGCAAGUUAAUUACGCAUUUUAAAUUAACUUACUAGGGUUAUUAUCGUAAAUUUGCAGGCAACCGCCCCACCUCCCAUCACGAGCUUCCCGAUCUGAAUCCCGGUCGCUCGCCAACCUUUGCCUCCUGCCUCAUGACGGCGACAAUUACUGGCCGCCGCGGAAUCCUUGCGGCGACGGCGAGGGUGACGGCGACGGCGCCAUAGCUUCCUGGUCCACUCUGCAGUCUGUUCCCUUCUGCAGUUCUCCUCUCCCGCGCACGCGGCCUUGUGGACGCGUUGGCCGCGGGUUCGUCGGUGCUGUUGGGGCGGCUCUCCGGGGACAGCGCUGGCGGCGUCGGCGGCGCGAAUCGGUGUCGGAAAAUCGGAGCGCAGCCGCCGCUCGGCGGACCGACAUUUCUGCACCGCGCCUGCCUCGGCCGCCAUUCUGAUUACUCAACUUAUGGUGGCUCCAUUAUUGGAUUGCCUUAUAUUGAUCCACUAGCUGGGCUUGAGACCUGCAAACAUGGGAACAACCUGUGAUUACAUGAAUUGGAGGAGCCAGAUUUUCUCAAUACAAGCAACCAGGGUUAACUGUCAGAACCUAGAGCAACAUGGAGAUCACUGUUAUGUUCGGGUCUCCUGCUUUUUUCUGUAUCGUGGCAUGUAUGGGAGUUGAGUACUGAGUUCGUAUGUAGUCUCAAUGCUACUGUGUUGUUUGCCUGUGCGAAAUCAUCAGUUAUCUGAACUUCUAUCUGUGGAAGAGUAUUAUAGUUUAUAGAGCUUAUAGAAACGCAGUUAGAUUCAAUACAUAUGGGCAAGAUGGAAAAGUGUGAUUCAGUA